GCCCGGGUAGCUCAGUCGGUAGAGCAGUGGCCUGAAAAGCCUCGUGUCGGUGGUUCGAUUCCGCCCCCGGGCA
rnacentral:tRNA from 1 species